rnacentral:hammerhead_ribozyme from 1 species
NUCCAGCUGACGAGUCCCAUGUAAGACGAAACGUGCGUCCUAGAU